ensembl:lncRNA
GCGGGGACGGUGGCGGGCGGGGCGGGCCCCCACGGCCAGCUUCCCUGGAGGACCCGGCGGCGGGCGCCGCGCUCUCCGGGCCCUGCGGCUGUUCUGUGCGCCGAGGGCGGCCCCGUCGGAGGGUCCUGCUUGUCUCGGGAGCCGCACGGACCCACCGGGGGCUGCGCUCCUGUCCCCGCCGUGAAGCGCAGGGCCGCGCCGGUGAGACAGAGGAGUUUCGGCCGAGCGGGCCUCGCCCCCGCGUCCCCGAGGCCCGCGACGCGGGGACGGAGCCCCUUCCGGCCAGGCGGGCCGGGGACGCCGCCGAGGCCUGAGCGCCGCUGCACCGCGGCCGCUUCCAGGAUGGCCUCCCAGCCUGCGCCCGUGGGGCCGGACUCCGAGGGCCCAGCCGAGGCCGAGGAGAAAUCUGGAGCCUGGAGGACAAGCCGGGGCAGCAGCUCUCCCUCUGACCUCCCCUUCCCUUGGCCUCCAGCUCUUCGCAGGAGGAAGAGGGACCACCCACGGUGUUGCCGGCCCCCAGGCACGCGUUCAUUCCGUGGUGGUUAGUGAGCACCUGGUGUGUAACGUACCUACUCGGCCCUGUGCCUUGUGUAGAGGAUGCAAUGGUGAGCAGAACGACCGCUCCUGUCCUCGGGAACAGCGUGGCACCUGGCUACACACUGUGGUGAGGGCUCGGAAGGAGAAGCCCAGGGCGUCCUCUAGACUGGAUGGGAGUCAGGGCAGGCGUCCUGAGGCAUGAGGUUAGAGGAGUGAUUGGGCCGUAACUUGAGAUGGGGCAGAGAUGAGACCUUUCCAGGCAGAGGGAGUAACACGUGCAAAUGCCCAGUGGCUGGCAGAGUAAGAUAAGUUCCAGGAAUAGAAGACUAGGCCCGUGGGACUGGAGCAUGGUGGUCAAUGGUGGAUAAUGGCAGAAGGCUGGAGAGGCACAGGAGCCAGCCAAGGCAUGGCCCUCUAGUCUGGGGACAGGACUUUUCUUGUCAUCUUCAUGUAAUCUCAGGCUGGGAAAUGCCUGCUAAAAUCGGGAUGCUAUGUUGAGUGGCCCCAUCUUAUUCUGGAAGAGAAGCUUGGGGUGGGGGAUGACACUUCAAGUUGGGUCCAAAGACUUGCAAAACUAGGAUUGCCACAGGAUUUAGUUUUAUCCCACUGUCUUGAGAUCUGUGACCCCAGACUCCUCCAAGCUCUGAUGGUGACCCUCAUGAUGGUGGUGGCUCUAUGAUGUCACUGAGGGUACAGUGACCAAAGGCCUAAACUUAACACUCUGCUCAGGAAACGGAGGGCUUCAUUUCGGUGUCUGUCCAGGCCACAGCCUAAUGGGUCAUUAAAUAGACUCGAGAGGAGAAACAGCCAAGGGAAGAAGGAAAGCCGCUCACUAGCUGAAUAAACUGAGAUCCAGAGAGGAACUGAAGGACCGAGGCCUCGGCUGCUGGGAUUCCAUGGGCUUCCCCAGUUUUCCAGGGAAACUCGCGAAGGUGGACCUGAGAUCUAUUUCAAGCUGGUUCCCAGCCUCGCUGUGGGACCACCAGGAGCUCACCUGCCCUCUCUGGGCUCCAGUCUCGCCUCUCUCAGGGAAUCAGAGGAGUUGGAUUAGAAAUAGCCAGUAUCAGAGCUCAAGACAACUGACCAGUGAUUGAGGAAUUUUAGUUCUCCAUUACAAAGACUCAGUGAUGCUCUCCCAUUCCGUAUGUACACAGCCCACAGAACACAACAUGCAGUUGCCUGUGCCUACGCAUCACACACCCUCUGGGACGCAGGCAUGGCAGACACCCGGCAUCAAUGCGCUGCUUCAGGGCGGUCCGUCCCAGGGGCGGCUUUCAUGGGCGUCUCUGGAGAAAUCUACUCCGUGGGGUUCGUGGGCUUAGGACCUUGGAAAACUUUCUGAAAUGUCGUUGACCAGCUUGGCUGACAUGUUAAUUUGCCUCCUGUUUCCAUUUUCUUCAUCUUGAGCAGCUCUCUCAGAUACGAUUAGUCAUGAGCCCUUCUCACACCUCUCAGAUAUUCUUUGUGGAACUGGGUCCAAAGUCUUUUUUGCAGGGCAGCAUACCAUUUCCUUAUAGCCCCCAAAACACUGCGUCCCAAGCUAUCUCAACAUUGGCUUGAUGCAAGGCUCAGUUAUUCUCUGGAUCUGCAGGUUGACGAUGGGUCUGCCAAGCUAGGCUGGGCGUUGGGGGGCGACGCGGCUCUGCUCCCUCGGUCUCUCAUCCCCUCUUCCUCCUCUCAGGCCAGCGGGCUGGUCUGGCCCGGGGUGUUUUUCCCACAGUGAUGGUGAGGAGAGCGGCCUGAGUGCACACCCUCUUCCAGUCUGGGCUAACAUCCCGCUGACCAGAGGAAGUCACAUGGCAAACCCAGAAUCAGAAGGUAGAGAAGUGUAUUCCAGGGUUAGAAGUGAGGGAAGAGAGUGAAAUGCUGGAAGAAUAAUUAUUGUCCGUGUCUACUAUUAUAAUUUAUAGGGUGUGGUGGUUU